CCUACGUGAGGCAGCAGUGGGGAAUAUUGCGCAAUGGGCGAAAGCCUGACGCAGCGACGCCGCGUGAGGGAUGAAGGUCUUCGGAUCGUAAACCUCUGUCAGCAGGGAAGAACGGUCACUGUGCUAAUCAGCAGUGAAUUGACGGUACCUGCAAAGGAAGCACCGGCUAACUCCGUGCCAGCAGCCGCGGUAAUACGGAGGGUGCGAGCGUUAAUCGGAAUUACUGGGCGUAAAGCGCUCGUAGGCGGUAUGUCCAGUCUAGGGUGAAAUCCCCGCGCUCAACGUGGGAACUGCCUUUGAAACUGGCAAACUGGAGUGUGUGAGAGGAUAGUGGAAUGCCAGGUGUAGGAGUGAAAUCCGUAGAUAUCUGGAGGAACAUCAGUGGCGAAGGCGACUAUCUGGCACAUAACUGACGCUGAGGAGCGAAAGCGUGGGUAGCAAACAGGAUUAGAUACCCCAGUAGUC
rnacentral:rRNA from 1 species